CGUGCACUCAGGGUGUCCCAGGAGUUUGGGAAACUCUGUCAUAAGUACAUUGCUGAAGGGAUGAUGUGUAGACUACAGUAGCACAUAAUCAACCAUAAAAAUGGAGAAGCUGAGGGAAAAUAUUUCAAAACCAUUACUUUUUUCUUUUUUACAAUUCCAGCGAAAGAAAUCAAAGCAGCUGUGUAGUUCUGAGGACAGUACAGCCAACAUAUUUUUCUCAAAUCAAUCACAACAUGCGUUGACAGCGUGAGCUGGGCCCUGGCAACUACGGUCCUCAUCCUGUUCUCCUAUGUUAAUACUUCAGCAUUAUCGGGGGACGCGCUACAGACUGAAAUUCACCUCCACCUUUAUUUGCUGGGUCAGCCGUUUCCCGCUAAAAUUAUGGAGGACAGGAGAGAUGGUUUGUCAAGGAGUCCCCGGACUAAAAGACAGGCUGAUACAGCUGGAGGACAGGAGAGAUGGUUUGUCAAGGAGUCCCCUGACUAAAAGACAGGCUGAUACAGAUGUCUGAACUGAGAGAGACCUUGCACUGAGCUUUAAAAUUAUACAAGACACAUAUAUUACUUUUCGUCGUCUUUUUGUUAUUAUUGAAUGGUAGGGGGGCGGGGACUGUCUUAUAUGGGACACCAUAUGAAGGGAUGACGACUAACAUGUACCCUCAGACAAAAUGCUGAUAGCUACAGUAUCUAUAUCGGAUGUGAAUGACAAUAGAAGAUGAAAGACAAGUGUCAUAUUUGCACAUUGUUAUAUUAGCAGAACACUGCUUCUACAGUAUUAUGUGAAGGAUGGUUUAUUCUACUUGGAACUUACACUUGAAAGUUAUCAGAACACUUUGUUUGGAAUAUCAGCACAAGUUCAGCAAUUGCACUCUUCUCAUACUGCUCUGUAGGCUACUGACCAAUUCAAAGCUUCCUCCUGGAGGACAUAUCCAGGAUGGAGUGUCAUGCACUCCACCCCUCCUGCCACCUGACUGCAUCUGUCCAUAACCUGUAAUACAUGACAUAGAUGGAAGGGACUUCAUCAGCCACUGGAGACUGUAAGACAGAACCUCACCCUGAGAGCUGUGCAUGUCAGUGUGUAGUUAGACAGCCAAACCCUUAGAAUAGACCUUAGAAAUAGAAUAUAAUGCCAUGAUAGUUCUGGCACAGCUGAAGUUGUACCAAAGAUGUUUGUGCUCCUUGUUCUAUCUGGGCUUAUUUUCAUUUGCUAGGUGAAGUGUAGGCAUACUGUCUUUAUAAGCACAUCAAUAUAAUAGCCUAUUUACAGUAGAAAAUGUUUUGUCUUUGUAACACAAACACACUCAUGGAUUUCUGUUGUUGUUGAUAAAUGUAUCUGCACAUAACCCUGAUAAGUCAGAAUUGUAAUAAUUAUUUUUUGCAAAAAGAGUGCACUGGGC
rnacentral:lncRNA from 1 species